AGGAACAGUCUGACCGCGUGCCUUUUGCAGAAUGAGCCAGCGAGUUACAUCGGUGUAGCAAGGUUAAGUCGCCCAAGGCGACGAAGCCGUAGCGAAAGCGAGUCUGAACAGGGCGUCAUAGUUACAUCGAGUAGACCCGAAACUGAGUGAUCUAUCCAUGGUCAAGAUGAAGGUCGCCGAAAGGCGACUGGAGGUCUGAACCCAUUAGCCUUGAGAAGCUACGGGAUGAACUGUGGAUAGGGGUGAAAGGCCAAUCUAACUCAGAGAUAGCUGGUUCUCCCCGAAAUAGUUUUAGGACUAGCCUUGUAAAAUAGUUAACGGGGGUAGAGCACUGAAUGGACUAGGGUCUUUAACCGGAUUCCAAAUCCAAUCAAACUCCGAAUACCGUUAAUCUUAUUACAGGAGUCAGCCUGUGAGGGAUAAGCCUCAUAGACAAAAGGGAAACAACCCAGAUCGCUAGAUAAGGUCCCCAAGUAUGGACUAAGUGGUAAAGGAUGUAGGAUUGCUUAGACAACCAGGAUGUUGGCUUAGAGGCAGCCAUCAUUUAAAGAGUGCGUAACAGCUCACUGUUCGAUGCAGUCCUGCGCCGACAAUCAACGGGGCUAAAGUUCAUCACCGAAUCUGCGACUUUUAAUGCAGUCAUUAGUCGUUGGUCGUUAGUCAUUAGUAAGAUUUUUACUACUGACUAUUGACUAUAGACUAUCGACUGUAUAAAGGGGUAGGGGAGCGUUCCGAUUUGGAUGAAGGUAUACCGUAAGGAGUGCUGGACGAAUCGGAAGUGACGAUGCUGGCAUAAGUAACGAUAAAGCCGAUGAAAAAUCGGCUCGCCGAAAGUCUAAGGUUUCCUUGAGCAAGGUUAAUCCGCUCAGGGUAAGUCGGAACCUAAGCCGAGGCAGGAAAUGCGUAGGCGAUUGGAAAAAUCCGUUAAUAUUCGGAUACCGUCUAAAUGGCGUUUUUACUUAAGGGGUGACACAGGAAGGUGAGUCCAUCUCCGUGGAAGAUUACGGAGUCAAAGCUCUAAAGGAAGGCCAUCCAGGUAAAUCCAGGUGGUCACAAUUCCAAAGGGUGAUUGGGAGUCCAACGAAAGGCGGGCGUACUGGCGGAUCCUACACUGUCAAGAAAAACCUCUAUAGGAGUCAUUUGGAUGACCGUACUACAAACCAACACAGGUAGACGAGGAGAAGAUCCUAAGGCGCUCGAGAGAACCCUCAUUAAGGAACUCGGCAAAUUGACUCCGUAACUUCGGAAUAAGGAGUACCUUUGAAAGAUAGGAGAAAUCUUUAGAAAUGGGGGAGUCCGGACGUAAGUCGGGAUGAACUGACAUACUAAAGUGAGUAUCCUAUUCGUAAAAGGUUGCAAAAAACAGCCUCUGACGACUGUUUAACAAAAACACAGGUCUCUGCUAACCCUAAAAGGGGAAAUAUAGGGACUGACGCCUGCCCGGUGCUGGUAGGUUAUGAGGAGGAGUUAACCCCCCCGUCUUGCUUUCGUAAGAAAGCAGGGGGGGGAUGAAGCUCUGAAUUUAAGCCCCAGUAAACGGCGGUCGUAACUAUAACGAUCCUAUGGUAGCGAAAUUCCUUGUCGGGUAAGUGUCGGACUUGCCCGUAAGUCGGCUCAUAACGGUGAAACCUUUUGUAUAUGGCAUAUUUAACAAGGAAUAUGUCGGUAAAAUACAGGGGUAAUACCGUGGGAAGUCUUCGUGACCCCGUAACGACUAAGGGAAAAACCCUUGAUUCUGAGAAAUUUAAAUACACACUCAGGAUAACACGCCGACCAUCAAUUCAGUAGGAGAAGAUGUUAGAACCAAGUUAUGUUUCUGGACUUGCUGAUGGAGAGGGUUGUUUUUGUGUUUCUAUUUCACCACGAAAAUUAAAAGAAGUUCAAUGGGAAAUAAGACCGAGUUUUUCAAUUUCUUUAAAUAAAAAAAGUAAAGGGAUUUUGUAUCAAAUUAGAGAUUUUUUUCAAUGCGGGUUUAUAAGACCAAGCAAAAAAGACAAUACUUACAAAUAUGAAAUUCGGGAAUUAAAAGAACUUGCAGAGAAAAUAAUCCCACAUUUUCAAAAAUACCACCUUUAUACAGAGAAAAAGAAAGACUUUGAAACGUUUGAAAAAGUGGUGAGAAUGAUGAGACAAGGAAAACAUCUAUCUUUUGACGGUUUAAAAGAAAUCGUUUCUUUAAUCGUCAAUAUGAAUCCCCAUGGUAAGAAGAUUUAUAACCGUAAAGAAAUUGCUGAUUUGAUGAACGUAUAGUCUAUGAAGAAGUUCCGACCUGCAUGAAUGGCGUAACGAUCGGAGGACUGUCUCAAUGAGGGACUCGGUGAAAUUGUAUUAACGGUGAAGAUGCCGUUUUCCCGCGACAGGACGGAAAGACCCCGUGGAGCUUUACUGUAAUUUGGCUCUGGAUUUUGGGUGAAGGUGUAGAGGAUAGGUGGGAGGCUUUGAAACCCCGCCGCCAGGUGGGGUGGAGCCAACAGUGUAAUACCACCCAUUUUUAUUCGAGAUUCUAACCACAACCUCUGAAUCGAGGUGUGGGACACAGCCAGAGAGACAGUUUGACUGGGGCGGUCGCCUCCUAAAGAGUAACGGAGGUGCCCAAAGGUUCCCUCAAGCUGGUUGGAAAUCAGCUCAGAGAGCGUAAAAGUAUAAGGGAGCCUGACUGCAAGACAAACAAGUCGAGCAGGUGCGAAAGCAGGGUUUAAUGAUCCGACGGUGCUGUAUGGAAAGGCCGUCGCUCAACGGAUAAAAGCUACCCCGGGGAUAACAGGCUGAUCGGGUCCAAGAGUCCACAUCGACGACCCGGUUUGGCACCUCGAUGUCGGCUCAUCGCAUCCUGGGGCUGAAGUAGGUCCCAAGGGUUGGGCUGUUCGCCCAUUAAAGCGGUACGCGAGCUGGGUUCAAUACGUCGUGAGACAGUAUGGUNNNNNNNNNNGACAGUAUGGUCCUUAUCCGUCGUGGGCGCAGGAUAUUUGAGGGGAGUUGCUCCUAGUACGAGAGGACCGGAGUGAACAAACCUCUGGUGUACCAGUUGUGGCGCUAGCCGCAUCGCUGGGUAGCCAUGUUUGGAAGGGAUAAAUGCUGAAAGCAUCUAAGCAUGAAGCCCACCCCAAGAUUAGAUAUCCCAUCCUAAAAAAACAUGGAUAAGGGGUUAGUGAUAAUCCCUGCCAUCUGUUUUAAGGGAGUAAGACCUCUUCGAGAAAAGGAGAUUGAUAGGCCAAGGGUGUAAUGCCCGUAAGGGUUUUAGCUGAUUGGUACUAAUAGGUCGAGGACUUGACCAU
rnacentral:ncRNA from 1 species